CCUACGGGCGGCUGCAGUGGGGAAUCUUGCACAAUGGGGGAAACCCUGAUGCAGCAACGCCGCGUGAAGGAAGAAGGCCCUUGGGUCGUAAACUUCUGUUCUAAGGGAAGAUAAUGACGGUACCUUAGGAGCAAGUCCCGGCUAACUACGUGCCAGCAGCCGCGGUAAUACGUAGGGGGCGAGCGUUAUCCGGAAUUAUUGGGCGUAAAGAGUACGUAGGUGGUUUCUUAAGCAUGGGGUUUAAGGCAAAGGCUUAACCAUUGUUCGCCCCAUGAACUGGGUAACUUGAGUACUGGAGGGGAAAGCGGAAUUCCUAGUGUAGCGGUGAAAUGCGUAGAUAUUAGGAGGAACACCAGUGGCGAAGGCGGCUUUCUGGACAGUAACUGACACUGAGGUACGAAAGUGUGGGGAGCAAACAGGAUUAGAUACCCCAGUAGUC
rnacentral:rRNA from 2 species